CGGCGGCGCUUGGCGGAGGACUCCUCUCUGUCCUUGAAGACGGCAGAGGAGUAUUGCUACAGCAGCCAGCGCACGGCCUUGGAGUCGUACUUGUGCCUUAGGUCCACGCCCGGAUUCCAUCCCCGACGAGUUUUCUACGCCUCCUUCCCCUUUUAGAUCUUUCUUCUGUAUUUUGAUUUGCACUGAUUUUCUUUCGUUAAUUUGCUUUCUCUUCUUCUUGGAGAUGGAAUGCGUUUGUGCUGCUCCGCGUGUGGCCGGCGUGGUAGGCAGCCGGGACGUCCCGGCAGAGGCCGGAGUCCGUGCUGGUGCGCCGGGUUCUCUCUCUCUUGUAUGCAGGUGGGCGUCGCCACUAUUUCUAUGCGUUCCGCAUCUCCGUUUUUUGGUAGGCCUUCUUUCUCAUGUCUUCAUUGGUAGUAGCUGCUGGACAAGGGCAUGACACGGGUGAGCGUGCACGAGAAUGAGUACAACAUCUGGAAGAUGGGCGUGAUCACAGUUUACGUCUCAUUUUUUGAUAAAUCGGUGCCAUGAGGGUGAUUCUGAGCUAAUUUGCUGUUAUAGUGGUCAUAUUCUCUCGCUUAGUUUGGAAGCACAAACUUAACCAAACACUGAAGAAAAUGUGCAAGGUGCGUACAUAGCGUGGUAAUGAAGUAGAACUUUACCACGCUUUUUCUUAUUUGUCUCGAACAAAUGUAUUACCAUCAAUGCUUCGCCCAUUCUUCGUAUGUUUGCUAAAAGAUUCAAUUUAUUUUUACUAACCUCCAGGUGAUCUUUUCUGUAGUGAAUUGAACCUUAUGAAAAGAAAAACCUAUCUACAUGACUCCCAUUUCGUAGACUACUAUCUUCCCAAUUCAAAUGAACCACUGGCAUCUCAUAAAUGUUGAUGCUAUUUUUUUACUCCACAGACAUUAGAGAUCUUACCGAUCAAAACAAUAUUGCUCUCAUCAAUAUUAUGCUUGCAUGUUUUGAGUCAACCUUAAGAAUAAUCACUCACAUGAGUUUUUGGUACUGCUUAGCUGGUGGUAAUUACUAUCUCCCCUUUCCGGUGCUCCUGUAGAAAAACGUCUUUACUGGAGGACUUUUAAGCGGUGCAAAGAUUGCUAGGGUACGUAUCUUUAUUUUCAUCACAUGCUGGCCUGCUGCGCCGCUUGCCGUGCGGGACGGACCGCUGUUGCUCGCCAUGUCGCCUUCUUCGAUUAUGGUUGGUGGGUGUGCUUCUGUUCAUCGUCGUGCUCCUCCUCCUUUUUCUGGUGAUCCAUCGCUGCCGCACCUCUGGUCAGGUCUUGGAAGAUUGGGUCGAGCUUUGCGGCCGGCGGCCUUCCUUAGUUGCCUGGCAAUGAGCUAGAAUAGGUCGCGGUCUUCGGUAAGCAGCCUACAUCGAGCAUCAACGACUUGCAGUUUUGGCAUUUUGUUGGUUCCUUAAUUCCCAGAUGAAGAUUCCCACCCCUUCAUCAAGAUUCAGUUUAUUUGUAUUUGUUUCGUCCAUUCGUACCAAGGUAGGCUACGUUUGGUGUUCCUGCUAUUCAGUGAAUUUCGUCUGUGGUCAGAGUGCGUGGUACGUUCCUCAACACAGGAUUUUGUUGUUUUUUCCGUCAUCGGAAAGUUUUUGAUUGUUUGCUGCUGCCGGUUGUUCUUUCUGUUGGGUUCCUGAGUUUUU